rnacentral:lncRNA from 1 species
GGGUAAUGAAAAGGAUUGAAAUACCUCUUUUAAUUGGCCCAAAUACAUAUGAAGUAGAAUUUUUGGUGAUGGAUAUCAGGCCCUCUUAUAACUGUUUGUUGGGUAGACCUUGGAUUCACUUAACUGGGGCAGUGUUAUCGUCACUACACCAAAAAUUGAAGUUGGUAACGGAGGGUCGAAUGGUGACGAUAAACGCUAAAAAGGAU